UGUCCCUUUAAUAUAACAUCCACUUGCAACAUAUUUGAUGAUAUUUAAUGCUGCUGUAUUGAUGUAUUACACAUAGGUUGCCUAUUUGAAUUCUUUGGACGCAUAACAGCAAAGGAUGUAAUUGAAAGAAUGAUGGAGUGCAUAUUCACCCUGCCCUUCGCUUGUCAGUACAAAUGGGUUGGCAGGAGAGAAAAAAUGGCAUCAGGAAAUUAAUUCUCAGAAAGGUGAUAAAAGAUGCUGCCAAAAACAGCAACAUAAAAGAGGCAGGAGUGGAACUGCAUCUUAGAAAUUGGUUAAGAUAUGCAUCGGAUCGAAUUAGGGGCCAAAGGAACACUUGAGGAGAGGCAACGUGCGAGGCCAGCAGCCACUGAGACAUAGUCGGAAUCCGAAAAAGAUGAUGAACAAGAUUGAUAUUUAGUUUGAUAAUAAAUGUUAAAACUGUG